AGAAAACACCUGCAGGACCCAUAGAAGAACUUGGAAGGAGUGCACAGCUGAAAUCAUCGAAUGAAAACCAAUCAGAGCUUAUAUCUGCAGUUUGCAGUCAUGAUGCUGAGCCGUUCAAACAGUUUGGGUAUUCACAUGGACUGAGCGAAGAAUUGCAUUUGUGCAAUCACAUUUCUGCAACACAAUUUCCAAACCAAGAAAUAAAUCCCCAGUCUACUUCCUGUGCAGUACAUAAGAACGAACCUGUUACCUUUUAUGAUUGUCUUUGCUGUUUCGUUCCACAUAAAAGACAAGACUGUUUAAUUUGUACAAGAAUUCCAUAUUCAUUGAUUCCUGAAAAUGUUGU